rnacentral:rRNA from 1 species
UACGUAGGUGGCAAGCGUUAUCCGGAUUUACUGGGCGUAAAGAGGGAGCAGGUGGUUCUGUAAGUCAGUGGUUAAAUACCGGAGCUCAACUCCGUGUGUGCCAUUGAAACUGCAGGACUAGAGAAUAAGAGAGGUUAGUGGAAUUUCAUGUGUAGCGGUGGAAUGCGUAGAUAUAUGAAGGAACACCAGUGGCGAAGGCGACUAACUGGCUUAUUUCUGACACUCAGUCCCGAAAGCGUGGGUAGCAAAUAGG